GUGGCACUGGCUGAAGAUUCUAAUCAAUGCAAUUGUAUAAAUCUGACUUAGGCACCUUUGUAUACAAUCUUACCCAAUACCAUUUUUCAUCUGUUUCAGAUAAUCCUGAUUUAAACCCAUAACUGCCAGUCUUGAGCUGCAGCAGCACACUGGGGUGGUAUGACAUUCUUCAACUUAGAGUCCAUCAGAAGAAAAACAGAAGGAGCAAAUCGUUAGCAGUUCCAUCUAAGGGAUAUUUGGUCUGGAGGAUGAGGGCUCAGAGGAUAAAACAACAUCUGAGAAGUGCGCAGGGACAUGAAUAUCUCCCUCAUGGAGACCUUAGUGCUAUGCUGGGCUGUUGCUUGUCCGCAGCAUUUCUUCAGUGUGUAAGAUGCCUGAGAAGAGGCGUCUGGAAGAGAAGGGUUUCUGAAUAAAAAUGGGUCACAGAUUUAGUGGAAGAUCA
rnacentral:lncRNA from 1 species